UUCCACAGCUAUAUUAUCCUGCAAGACCGGUUACUCACUGAAGUUAAGCAGGGAUGAGCCUGGUCAGUACCUGGAUGGGAGACCACAAGAGAAAACUAGGUUGCUGUUGGAA
rnacentral:rRNA from 1 species